rnacentral:lncRNA from 1 species
GGGUCAAGCUACCCUGCUAACAAAGUUGCUUAGUAAUGAUGUAGGCUCCUCAGGAGCUUUAAGCUAAGGAAAGUUUUCUAAAGACUUAGCUUAUUUUGUAUCUUUUCACUUAGGAAAAGGUUUAGGUGAUUUUUUUCCAUGGGGGCCACCAGCUGAAUGCUGCCCAUGGUAACAGUCAAGGGUCACACCUUCUGAUCUUAGCCAUCUCAAUCAGUGUCUGUCCCAAGAGAGGAGAUUGCCCCACCCCAAGAAGUUUACAGAAAACUGCCUCUUCAAGUGUUUGCCUUACUCAGCUUUUCACUUGUGCCAUUAAGCAAGCACUGUAGCAAAAGCCACUUCCACAUGGCCCAGGCAGGGAGCCCUGCAGCUCCAUGCUCCAUUCUCACUGUACUUGGUAUUAUAUUUUUUAUAAAUAAGAUUUUUAUGUAAAGCUCAGAUUUUGAUUUACAAGGACCUUGCUGCAGUAAAUAUUCCAUCAAUCUUGUGCCACCAGUUCAGCUGUUAGAUAGCACAGUCAAAUCAUUUGCAUCAAAAGGGCAAAUACUUUAUUAAGAUAAUGAAAGGGAACACUACUUCUGCUGUUAGGCACAAGUGUCUGUGCUUUUAAACAAAUUCAAGUAGUAAAAGAGAAAAUCAAGC